rnacentral:rRNA from 1 species
GAUGAACGCUGGCGGCGUGCCUAAUACAUGCAAGUCGAGCGAACAGAUGAGGAGCUUGCUCCUCUGACGUUAGCGGCGGACGGGUGAGUAACACGUGGAUAACCUACCUAUAAGACUGGGAUAACUUCGGGAAACCGGAGCUAAUACCGGAUAAUAUAUUGAACCGCAUGGUUCAAUAGUGAAAGACGGUUUUGCUGUCACUUAUAGAUGGAUCCGCGCCGCAUUAGCUAGUUGGUAAGGUAACGGCUUACCAAGGCAACGAUGCGUAGCCGACCUGAGAGGGUGAUCGGCCACACUGGAACUGAGACACGGUCCAGACUCCUACGGGAGGCAGCAGUAGGGAAUCUUCCGCAAUGGGCGAAAGCCUGACGGAGCAACGCCGCGUGAGUGAUGAAGGUCUUCGGAUCGUGAAACUCUGUUAUUAGGGAAGAACAAAUGUGUAAGUAACUAUGCACGUCUUGACGGUACCUAAUCAGAAAGCCACGGCUAACUACGUG